rnacentral:rRNA from 1 species
UAAUUGAAGAGUUUGAUCAUGGCUCAGAUUGAACGCUGGCGGCAGGCCUAACACAUGCAAGUCGGGCGGUAACAGGGAGAAGCUUGCUUCUCCGCUGACGAGCGGCGGACGGGUGAGUAAUGUAUGGGGAUCUGCCUGAUGGCGGGGGAUAACUACUGGAAACGGUAGCUAAUACCGCAUAAUGUCUUCGGACCAAAGCGGGGGACCUC